CCUACGGGAGGCAGCAGUGAGGAAUAUUGGUCAAUGGUCGGGAGACUGAACCAGCCAAGCCGCGUGGGGGAUGAAGGUAUAGAGUAUCGUAAACCUCUUUUGUCAGGGAACAAAGGCGGGGACGUGUCCCCGGAUGAGUGUACCUGAAGAAAAAGCAUCGGCUAACUCCGUGCCAGCAGCCGCGGUAAUCCGGGGGAUGCGAGCGUUUGCCGGGUUUAUUGGGUUUAACGGGUGCGCCGGCGGUCUGUUAAGUCAGCGGUCAAAGCCCGGGGCUCAACCCCGGCCCGCCGUUGAAACUGGCAGUCUCGAGUUGGAGAGAAGUAGGCGGAAUGCGCGGUGUAGCGGUGAAAUGCUUAGAUAUGACGAAGAACCCCGAUUGCGAAGGCAGCUUGCUGCAGCGGAACUGACGCUGAUGCUCGAAAGCGCGGGUAUCGAACAGGAUUAGAUACCCGAGUAGUC
rnacentral:rRNA from 1 species